UACGUAGGGCGCAAGCGUUGUCCGGAAUUAUUGGGCGUAAAGAGCUCGUAGGCGGCUUGUCACGUCGGGUGUGAAAGCCCGGGGCUUAACCCCCGGGUCUGCAUUCGAUACGGGCUGGCUAGAGUGUGGUAGGGGAGAUCGGAAUUCCUGGUGUAGCGGUGAAAUGCGCAGAUAUCAGGAGGAACACCGGUGGCGAAGGCGGUCU
rnacentral:rRNA from 1 species